rnacentral:snRNA from 1 species
UCGCCUCUUCCUCUCCUCAAGCCCACGCACUAAUCUUUCUCCUUUUACUAAAGGUUACCGUGGGGAGGGACAUUCCAAUGAGCCUAUAGGCCAAUUUUUGGGCGGGUACAUCCCUACACA